ACAUUCAAGCAUUUAAGAAGAAAGAUUAAACAUCGGAAUUACGUUCUCCUACUUUUUCUAGACUAGUUUUCAAAAUGAAAGUUUGCGUUAUUGUUCUGUUGGCUAUUGUUAUGAGCGUCUUGUUUGUUGCCACAUCAGCUCAGGAUACUAAUCCUUGCCCAUAUAAUCAAAGAGAAUGUUUCGACAGAUGCAGAUUGUUUGGCAGAACUAGUGGAGUGUGCGUUGGCAACAACUGCAUAUGCCAAGGACUAGUCUUUGCCAGAAAAUGACGUGUCAAAGGUCUCCGAAGAGUGAUGUGUCUUUCAAGACUCUUUUUAAAAAAAAAACUCUUAUCAGCAUUAAAAUUGAAAUAUUGCAUCCAAUUUUCAGAAUAGGAAAAAUAAAUGUGUAAAAGAUA